UUAUGGCCAUAUCAUGUUGAAACACCAGUUCAUCUACAAUUACUGAAGUUAAGCAAUGUCGAGCCUGGUCAGUACCUAGAUGAGUGAUCGCUUGGGAAUACCAGGUACU